UACGGAGGGUGCAAGCGUUAUCCGGAUUCACUGGGUUUAAAGGGUGCGUAGGUGGGCAGUUAAGUCAGUGGUGAAAUCUCCGGGGCUCAACCCGGAAACUACCCAUUGAUACUAUCUGUCUUGAAUAUCGUGGAGGUAAGCGGAAUAGUGUCAUGUAGCGGUGAAAUGCUUAGAUAUGACAUAGAACACCAAUUGCGAAGGCAGCUUACUACCCGAAUAUUGACACUGAGGCACGAAAGCGUGGGGAGCAAACAGG
rnacentral:rRNA from 1 species